rnacentral:misc_RNA from 1 species
GUGGAUCAUCGAAUCUUUGAACGCAUAUUGCACUCUCUGGUAUUCCGGAGAGUAUGCCUGUUUGAGGGUAAUUAAAACGAACCUCGAACCAAUUUUUUUUGGUCAAAGGAAAUGAGUUCUCCGCGAUUAUAGCGGUAGCGUGAAAUAAAUGGUCAAGUCCCAUUUCAGUCGAGUCGCGUAAAAACAUAAUUUUGCGAAAUCUUCAUUAUGCGACUAUCAAGUUUUGAUGCAUACAAUGAUGGUUCGUAUGCGAUCAACACAAAUCUUGUGUACAUUA